GAAUUAACAUAGUAUAGCAAAAGCCAUCGUGUGCCAGUAGCAAAACAGGAUGUGCUUUAUAUUAAUAUUUGUACACCCUAGACCUCGCCCACAUUUAAUCUCAUCUUGAAGCGGAUAUGACUAUAGCCAUCCUUCCCGAGUGACCUUUGAAUUCUGUUCUGUAUACAGAUUACCUAGCUGCACGUAUGAGCAUCUUCAGGAAUCAGAGCCCAUGUGUUGUACUGAUCAAGAGGCAAUUGUACCUAUAUGCUCUUCUCCUUUGCCUCACACUGAAGAAUUUGCAUGGGACCGGUUCAAGAUCUUUACAGACAGCAUUGGCAUAAAAGGAAAUGUGGUUGCUGAUGAUCUUACCUACACUUAAGUGGCUUGAUGAAGAAGACUUUUCUUGAAUUGAGGUUUUUAAUGAAUGAAUUCUCAUCUUUAUUCGCCAAUAAUCUAACAUUUUCAUCCAGAUUAUUCACAAAUAGGGUAUGCUUUCUCUUGAUAAAUUGUUAGGUUUUGUUUUUUCUUUUUCGUCAGGCUUUUGUAGUAAGCUCAAAUAAACGAGUACAAAGACUUCUUUCUUCUAUCAUUUCACUCACAUUCUUAAUGGAUGAAUAGCCUUUAUUUCAGUGA